UAGAAAUGAUGAGAUUCCACUUCAUUGGUCCGUGUUUCUGAACUAUAAUGAUAUCAGUGGAAGUUCUGAUUAU